GGGGAUUUAGCUCAGUGGAAGAGUGCUUGCCUAGCAAGCAAAAGGUCCUGGGUUCGUACCCAAGUCCCG
rnacentral:tRNA from 1 species